CCUACGGUAGGCAGCAGUGAGGAAUAUUAGUCAAUGGGCGGAAGUCUGAACCAGCCAAGUAGCGUGCAGGAUGACGGCCCUACGGGUUGUAAACUGCUUUUAUACGGGAAUAACGCGCCUUACGUGUAGGGCUUUGCAUGUACCGUAUGAAUAAGGACCGGCUAAUUCCGUGCCAGCAGCCGCGGUAAUACGGCGGGUCCGGGCGUUAGCCGGAUUUAUUGGGUUUAAAGGGAGCGUAGGCCGCAUGUCAAGCGUGCUGUGAAAUUUCCGGGCUCAACCCGGGCCUUGCAGCGCGAACUGGCGUGCUUGAGUCCGCGGAAAGCAGGCGGAAUUCGUCGUGUAGCGGUGAAAUGCUUAGAUAUGACGAAGAACCCCGAUUGCGAAGGCAGCUUGCUGCAGCGGAACUGACGCUGAUGCUCGAAAGCGCGGGUAUCGAACAGGAUUAGAUACCCUUGUAGUC
rnacentral:rRNA from 1 species